AGCUCAGAGGCCGCAAGGGGCUACCGAGCGACGCACGCAAAAACACAGUAAAGCCCUGAGUUGACAGAAAACGUUUAUUGAAUCCGUCGGCACCAGCACUGCACAAACGCCCGCGCUGUGGGGAACCAAAGGGGUCCCGCACCAAGGGCGAAAAUACAAUAACAGGCGCCUAUAGCACGUCGCGGCGAGAGCACAGGCUCAAGCUGGGACACGCCGCUAGGAAAAGUCCCGGCGGCUAUGCUACUUGCUCUGGCGAUAACCAAUGGGUCAACUCGCGAGAGCACGGGCAAUAUCCUUCGGCUUAGGCUUUCGGCAAGUGCGGCUCGGCGAGGUACGACCUCGCGCGAGCACUAAUGGCACCGCUCGUCGGCUUAGCGUCGGGAAAGGAUCAGCACAAAGUACGCGCUCCCCGCACUGGCAAAGGCCACGUGCGCGAGCUCCAGUCCUAGUCACAAAGGUGUCGGCGGACGAGAGGAAAGCAUGAACGUACCGUGCGCUGGUCCCGGAGAGAAGACCACGCUUCCCCGCUAGCGGCCGACAACCGGCCGCGUAGUGACGUCAGCGCUCCGCCCCCACCGCCAACCGGCGCGUGCGCAGCGCCACCGCAGGAACCGGUUAGGCGGCGCGGGCGGAGAAGGAGGCCAGCGGGGAACGAUGGCGAGGGAUGGCAGAGCAGGCGAAGCGCGCGCGAUCAUGCCGGCGCAACCCUCAAUCCCCACAUCCUCCUCUCCUUAAAUGCCCCCCUACCAGCCUGGCGAAACAGCUAGUAGGGGCUUAUGCAUCAAAGACAAUUGAGUCUUUCAUGCACAAGCUAAAUGCUAACCUCAGCCCAGCAAGUACUCUUAAAACACCGCGUUCCGACAUAUAAAACAAAACACUUUCAUGCACUAUAAAAAUAAUAAUUAUAUACAAGGAUCGUGGGAAAAUAAAAAAUUAAACUGCUACGCUCUAUAAUACAAAAAAAAAAUUGCCGCGAGAGGGGGGAGAAAUAUUAACAAAAUAGUCGGCCGCUGGCGCGGGACAGUGUCCAAGGUGCGAAGGGGAAGCGGCGCGUAAAGUUCUGUGGCUAGGGGCGGUGGCCGAAGACGUAGGAGUCUCGAGGGCAGCCUUGAUUGCAGGAACGGGCUCACCGUUGGUAGAUCGGAGUUAUUGUUUUCGUGGUGGUGGCGGUCCCGAACUCCAGCCGGAUGGGGCAGGACACUGCCGGGUCAGCUGGCCACGCCGCCGGAGCCAAGAUGGAAGGGGCAGCCACAACCGUGGCUGCAAGGCGUUCGCACGGCGGCGGCGACUGCAGAGAGCUGGUCUCUCGGUCUGACGUCAGAGGGUCAGUGACCCCGUCCACCUUCAGUGUCCACGAUGAUCCGAUGCUGCAGUUGGUGCGACUUCUGGUUGCUUCGAAGAGCAACAGGCACCACGCACGCACGCGCACACACACACGCACGCACACACUCCUUGCGGUUUUCACCAUGGCUGCGCAACACUCCCAAACACCGCCAUGCUCAUCGCCGUACACAACGCGCCGCGCCAUAGAAGGCGCAAAGCGUCCUUCGUCCCCCUCACACCGACGAGUCAAUGGGACCAUUGUCCACCACCGUGCCUGACGACCGCGCAAAUCAACAACCCCCUUCUCGGCAAAGUGAAAAAAAAAAAGGAAAAAGAAAAGAACAAGAAAAACAAAAAUCU